GAUGAAGAACGUAGCGAAAUGCGAUAAGUAAUGUGAAUUGCAGAAUUCAGUGAAUCAUCGAAUCUUUGAACGCACAUUGCGCCCGCCAGUAUUCUGGCGGGCAUGCCUGUCUGAGCGUCAUUUCAACCCUCAUGCCCCUAGGGCGUGGUGUUGGGGAUCGGCCAAAGCCCGCGAGGGACGGCCGGCCCCUAAAUCUAAUGGCGGACCCGUCGUGGCCUCCUCUGCGAAGUAGUGAUAUUCCGCAUCGGAGAGCGAUGAGCCCCUGCCGUUAAACCCCCAACUUUCCAAGGUUGACCUCAGAUCAGGUAGGAAUACCCGCUGAACUUAAGCAUAUCAAUAAGCGGAGGA
rnacentral:misc_RNA from 1 species